GUAAACAGGUGUCGUAUCCCUAUAAGAUAAAACACGAUUGUGUAAACAGGUGUCGUAUCCCUAUAAGAUAAAACACGAUUGUGUAAACAGGUGUCGUAUCCCUAUAAGAUAAAACACGAUUGUAUAAACAGGUGUCGUAUCCCUAUAUAGAUAAAUCAAAUUUGAACUAUUCUACAUAUUACAAAGGAGGAAACAUGUAGGCUAGGGAUACCUGAUGAGGAUAGGCCUAGGUCUACAUGACCGUAACCGACACACCUUUUUUUUAAUAUACACACCAUUAUCAAACUACAAACAUGCAAUUGUGAAUUUCUAGAAAAAUAUGGAAAUAAAUGCAGAAGAAUGUAUUCCAUAAGCAGAAAUAUUUAUCAUACACUGAGUUUACCAGCU
rnacentral:lncRNA from 1 species